CGGUCAAAUUGUAAAACAACUUCAAUACAACAGGUACGUUUUACAACAGCAUCUUAACAAUAUCAAUUAGAUAUGCUAAUAAAUUUGUUUUUCGUUUCAUGUAAACAUCAUUCUCGGUGGGAACAAUCUUUGGAUCGACUUCGAAAAAAGCGAGAGAAAGCGGCGCAAGUUCAAUAAGUGAGGCUAGCAAUGAAAAGUAAACAGGAUUCGCCUGUCAUCAUGCUACAGUCGAAGAUUGUCAUUAUCAAGGUGAUGAGAAAGGGAAAUAGAAGAACAGCAUCCUAGAUGACCUAACCUGAGGACAACAAGCGGGGACGGCCAUCUAAAAUUUCCAGUAUCUUCAUUUAUUGGAU